GUGGGCUCUUAGUCCAUAUGACUGGUAUCUUUAUAAGAGAAGAGACACAAACACAUGAGAUGAAGGAAGAAUGCCAUGUGAUGACAGAGGCAGAGAUCAAAGUGUUACAGAUGCAGCCAAGAAAUGCCAAGCAUAUCCCAUCACCAGGAGCUGAGGAGAGGCCUGGGGCAUUCUCUCCUUCACAGGCUGUGGAACCAACCUGGAUGGUGCCCUGAUUAUAAGCUUCUGGACUCUAGAACUCCUAUGGCUUCUGAAGAUAGUUCUAAUCUUCCCUGAAAAAUCACAGCCACACUGGGCCCUAUGGCCUCAAAGUUGUCAAUUGGAUCUCUCCAUCAUGCCCAGCAAUGAUGCCUCAGAGUGAUGCCAAGGUCUCACAUGAGAAAGAGGAAAGAAAAACAUUGCAUCAAAAGGAUUGCAAGGUACACCUUUGGACACCCUCCCCCAGUAUCCACCUCUGUAUCUGCAAAAAAAAAAAAAAAAAUGUCUGGG
ensembl:lncRNA